rnacentral:rRNA from 1 species
UAAUACCGCAUACGUCCUACGGGAGAAAGCGGGGGCUCUUCGGACCUCGCGCGAUUGGAUGAGCCUAUGUCGGAUUAGCUAGUUGGUGGGGUAAUGGCCCCCCAAGGCGACGAUCCGUAGCUGGUCUGAGAGGAUGAUCAGCCACACCGGGACUGAGACACGGCCCGGACUCCUACGGGAGGCAGCAGUGGGGAAUAUUGGACAAUGGGCGCAAGCCUGAUCCAGCCAUGCCGCGUGUGUGAAGAAGGCUUUCGAGUUGUAAAGCACUUUCAGCGGGGAAGAAAGCGUGCCGGCCAAUACCCGGUACGGACGACAUCACCCGCAGAAGAAGCACCGGCUAACUCCGUGCCAGCAGCCGCGGUAAUACGGAGGGUGCAAGCGUUAAUCGGAAUUACUGGGCGUAAAGGGCGCGUAGGCGGCGUGUCACGCCGGGUGUGAAAGCCCCGGGCUCAACCUGGGAAUGGCAUCCGGA